CUCAGGCAAAGCCAGAGUGGGAGGGCAUGGGGAUUGUUAAUCCAACCCCUUAUUUAACAGCUGAGAAACUGAGGCCCAGAAAGGCAAAGACUUUCUCUUUUCUAGCAUCUCAGGAUGCUCAAGUGCUGCUGACAAAUGUGGAGGAAGGACCCCUUGAGGAUGGGGACAGUGAUGAGGAAAUGGACAACUGAUGCAGGGAUGAUGUCUGUAGGCAACGCAGCUGCUCGCAUUGGCCAGCCUCACAAGGAAACCAAGAACUCCCCACUCACUGUUUGAGGUGCAUAGACAGCUGGAGUGGCAAUCAGCACCACAGAGCCUCUGGUGUGAGGAGACAGACAGGGGUGAUGAGGUGGAAGUUGAGCACAACCGAGAAGCCAGAUGCUUCCAGAAAACAAGCUUCCAAGUGACGCAGAGACAGAACCGAGAACCUCCUCGCUGUCGUUCGCUGCAUAGACUCUGCAGCACAUCAGCCUCCAGAAAAGGAGGUCAGUGCAAACAGUACCAGGAAAGGACGUCGGGCAAGCUGUGUAUCGGUGUCUGCUUUAAUUAGCAGAGCUGUGUCUGUGGACAGGCGAGGUGUCCCCAUGAUAGCCCAGGGUGGGCUCUGUGGGACAGCUGGACUGACGGGAUCAGAGUGGGUGCCAGUGAGUCCAGAUUGUGACAGCCUCAGGUUUCUGAGCCCGGAGACGUGAUCUGGCCCAGAGCUGGGUAUGUCCCCUCACAUCUUGGUUUGGAGCAUGGCAGAGAAGGUCUGCGGUAUCAUUGGCCACCUGGGCAGACUGACCCAGGUGUGCUCUAACCAAAGGAAGCCGACGCUAUGGCUUGAAGUGAUCACAGCCACUGUGUCGGCCAGUGCACAGCUCCUGUCUGCCCCAGUGCUGUGCAUUCUCACUGAGAGAGGGGCCAAGGAGCAAAGAAGAACCCCAAAAGUCCACAACACAGCCCUCAAGCAUGGUGGCCAAUUUUCAGGCCUCCCUCCUGCUGGACCCAACCCUGGGAGGAAGUCAAAGAUGAGUCUCCAUGGUGGCGUCUCUGUGACAUCUCUGCAAGCAGGAGUGCCAGGAAGCCGUGAGCAGGAGGGAAAUCAUGACCCUUGGAUUCUCAAAUUCUCAAGCACUCAGAUUAAAGGACAGCAAAGGAGCUGCUGCUGCUGCAGGUGGAAUAGACUGUGCCUCCUCAGCGUGCACUGGGAGUCUCAGGAAAUUAAUCAAGUGUUAUAGCAAGAAGAGGCCAGCAUCAAACAUAAGCAACCUUCCAAGUGCAAACUUCCCACCAAAGCUGUCAACCCCAACUGCCGCAUGCACACAGAGCCCGGAGAUGACCGCUAGAUGACCUUCUGGGGCAGCGAUAGUGAGAAACAGCACCAUGUUGGACCUACUGGGCAGGCACAGGGACUGCAACCCCGGGGGGGGGGCUCCUACAGCCACAGCACCAGGAAGAGGGAAGCAGAACGCCUCUGGAGGCCGAGAAUCUUGACAGCAGUGCCCUCCCCUCACCCCAUAAAAGACUCAGGACGGCUCCCUUCGGAGAGUCAGCCAGAGAGCCUCU
ensembl:lncRNA